rnacentral:rRNA from 1 species
GUCAGCGAUCAUAACAAGUAGAAAGAACCGGUUCUCGUCCGAUCACCCAAGUUAAACCACGUUGGGCCGGGUUAGUACUUGCAUGGGUGACUGGGUGAUAACACGCGGUGUUGCUGACG